rnacentral:rRNA from 1 species
AUUGAACGCUGGCGGCAGGCUUAACACAUGCAAGUCGAGCGGGGACUUCGUUCCUAGCGGCGAACGGGUGAGGAAUGCUUGGGAAUCUGCGUGGUAGUGGGGGAUAACGUUUUGAAAGGAACGCUAAUACCGCAUACGUUCUACGGGAGAAAGGGGGGGAUCGUCGGACCUCUCGCUAUCAGAUCAGCCCAAGUCGGAUUAGCUAGUUGGUGGGGUAAAGGCUCACCAAGGCGAUGAUCCGUGCCUGGUCUGAGAGGAGGAUCAGCCACACUGGAGCUUGGACACGGUCCAGACUCCUACGGGAGGCAGCAGUGGGGAAUAUUGGACAAUGGGCGAAAGCCUGAUCCAGCCAUGCCGCGUGUGUGAAGAAGGCCUUCGGGUUGUAAAGCACUUUAAGCGAGGAGGAAUGGCUCUGGGUUAAUACCCUUGAGCAGUGACGUUACUCGCAGAAUAAGCACCGGCUAACUCUGUGCCAGCCGCCGCAGUAACAC